UGUCAAAAAUUUUAGGCUUCUGCGACCCAAAAUACCCAAGUUAAAUUAAAAAUUCAAAAAAACGUAUCAACAAGUGCAUGCUUUCCUUAAACAAAAUAACGUAUCAUCACUAAUGUAAAAAUAACAGAGUAUUUUUUUUUUUUUUUAUAACGGAGUUAGCCUUGAUUUAUUGUUAUGUUUGUUUCUAUUAGUUAUGUUUAAUGUGCUUUGGUGAUAUAAUUUAAAUCGUUUUUAUACUGAAAGUUAUAAAACAGGUAAAACAAGAAAAGUGUUGUGAAAUAAUAAGAUGUGUUCCAUAAUUAAAGAUGCUGAAAAUAAUAAAGAAAAUGUGCAAGGUUGUAAAAAAAUUAACAAAAGGGAAGAAAAUAUAAAAAAUCGAAUGUAUGGUAAACAAUAUGACGGCUUAUCAAAAGGAAAUAUUUGCGAAAGGAAACCACGAGAAAUAAAAGCAGCAUGCACAUCUAAUUAUUGUGUACAAAGUUCAACUCGGCAUUGUUCUCUUUAUUCAGAAAAUGUGCGGAAGGAGAUAUUUGAAAAUUUUUGACAAAUGUCAUGGGACCAAAAGAAAGUUUAUGUAACUAGCAGUAUUGAAGUUCAUGCUAAAAAGCGGAUUUAUGUGGAAAAUUCCCGACGUUCAUAUUCAAAAUCCUAUUUUUUGCAUCAUAAAAGAGUACGUCAUCAAGUGUGCAGUAAAAUGUUUUUGUCAACCCUUGGUAUUUCGGAAACUAUGUUCAACUAAUGAAAGACGCACGAAAAAAUCCAUAUCCACUAGUGGUUCAUCACCUACAACACAGUUAUUUCCUGGAUUAUGAAAAUCUUCCAAAGCGGUAUUCAUCUAUUCGACCAGGUAAUAAAGUUGGAGAUCCUACAGUAAAUAUGAUUCGUGCUUUGGCAUAUGAUACAACGGGAUCCAUAUAUUACAAAACCUGUUUUAAGGACGAGUAUCAGUUUCUUCCAAAAAGGACUACCAGAAAUUUUGAAAUUCAGCAGCCUAAUCCUUUGCACCCGCAAAGGUUAACGAUAUCCAAGAAGAAAUGGCAACAUCUGCAGGACCUAAAGGCUUUGAUUCCAGCAGACUGUCAUUACUUUUAUGAUAAUAUACCUUUUGAAUAAUUAAUUGUUUAAUAAACAAUUAUUAAACAUUGUUCUCAUUUUGACUUGAAAUAUUUUAAUUUUUUUUAGUACUUAUGUACAUAUUAAUAAUAAAAAUAACAUGAAAUAU